UACGGAGGAUCCAAGCGUUAUCCGGAAUUACUGGGCGUAAAGAGUUGCGUAGGCGGUUAAGUAAGUUAGUAGUGAAAGCGUGAGGCUCAACCUUAUACACAUUACUAAAACUGCUUUGACUAGAUCAUGAGAGAGGUACCUGGAAUUCCCUGUGUAGGAGUGAAAUCCGUAGAUAUAGGGAGGAACACCGAUGGCGUAGGCAGGGUACUGGCUCAUUGAUGACGCUCAGGCACGAAAGCGUGGGGAGCAAACGGG
rnacentral:rRNA from 1 species